AUGUAAUCUUGCCCUGGAGCAUCACAGCAUCACUGGAACAUCGAGGCCUCAGCUGUGACUGGAGGCAUACAGAAUUAUGUUUCCGCAUGCCAUAGCUGGCUUGCAUGGCAAGGACACUAGGCCUCAGACAGCCCUAACCACAAUUUAAUUAUGAAAUUGUUUUCCAAAAAAAAUUAUACAGAAUGGCUCUCAACAUUUAGCCGUUCAGAAAAGUAGUUUCUUUGCUUUUUGGAGAUCUCCCUGGCAUGUUCCAACUUUCUUCAUCUGUCUUCACCUGGGCUCCCAGUGUCCGCAUCGAUAGAAAAUGACUCAACACCUUAAUCAAAUUGUGAUUCUGAGAACUGAGACAAUACUUCUACUAACUGUCUUGCUGGAGAGAUGAAGGCAGACUGGGCUUAUUUCUCCAGCCCUCUCCUGGGCCCUUCCAGCUAAAAAAGGAACAUUCUUGGGCAUCUCCUCCAGCUUGGGACUCCCGGUGUACUUCACAGUGCUGGACUCUUUCAUACCCACACUCUGGGUAGCAGAACUGAACAGAGGUUAGACUACAAGGAAGUAGCUCUGGAGGCCUUUGGUUGACAGGAGUUCAGGGAAUGUCACUCAAAGCCUGAUGGUUUAGGAUGCUGGUUACUUUCUACUGAAAGUACCUGGAGUCCAGUAGAUGCUGAUCAAGGCUUUCCUCUGAGCUACUCACAUCUUUGGACAGAACAAUUGUCAUGGAUUCGCUUCCCUGGGAAGCUCAUGGACCAGGCAAGAUCAUAUACCAAGAGAUAAGGCUGGAGGUCAUUACCUCGUCCACAUGGCUCCAUCACAGGUGGUUUAGAAGUGAACAUGGGAACCGAACAUGGUGACAUAUGCCUGUAAUCUCAGCACUUGAGAGGCUAAGACAGGAGGAUCACCGUGAGUUCAAGGCCAGCCUGCCCUACAAAGAAGUAAUGCAGAUAGAAUAUAAACAUUCUACAGGUUCCUGGUACAUGACCUGGUGAUGGUUAACUGGCAAUCCUAUCUUCUCCAAAACCUAAUCUAACGGAUGGAUGUUGAUACGACAUCAGGCUCCUCAACACACUCAUUGUCAGCAAAUGACCGGAGUCUGCACAGACCUCCAUAAAUAUUUAUGAAACGGAAGCAUAAUCCAAUGGCUACAUCUUCCUGUCCAUUCUGGGGUGGAGGAGUGGACCUUCCUUCACCCCUGCUGUAGUACAAAUGCCCCUGCAUGUUCCGUCUCCUCCGCAGCCUGAGGAGGCCCGUGCUCAGACUUGUUUCUUGUUACUUAGGACUCUUGAGCCACUUGUCACUGUUCUCUUGCCAUCCUGUCUUUCUCCUUCUCAACACUGUCAGGACUUAGGAGUGACCCAGUCCUGCACUGCUCAGCACCCUGCCUUCAGUCUGUCUUCUGCUGUCUGCGUCCUGCUGAGAUAAUUCCGUUUGCGCUGUCCCUGGUCAACAUGAGGGCUGGCUCCAGUGCUGGACACCCAGACUUCUGUAGAGCACUGGAUUUAAAGUCGUCUCUCUGGCUGCUGAGCUGUCUUCCCAUGACCUGGAGGGUGCACUGGUCUCUGAUUUCAUCCUCCUGCCUCUUCCCUUCGGCCUCUAGGUUCCCCCCAGGGUGGUGCUGCUUCUUAAAAGCUUCCUUUUCUUUCUUUCUUAUACAGUACUCUUUUUGUUCUUAGCCAUUUUCCUGUGAUUUCAGUUGCAACCUGUUCAAACGUGCCACUUAGAACAACCCAAGUUCUCUGUGCAGCAGUCACAGCAAUGCAGUGGAAAGGAGGGAACCUGAGAUUGCUGGACUUGAACUCAAGCCUGGCUUCUGCUAUUCUCUAACCUUGGGCAAGUCACUGAAACUCCUUGAGCUUUGGUUUCCUCAUCUGUAAAGUGAGGUUGAAUGUAACACUCACCUCUUGAUGUAUGUAAAAGCUUGUUGAACACCGCAGCAUAUACUGUUAAGUGACAAUCCAACACACAAAUUAACAAGCUUGGAGUCAAAAGAAAAAAAAAAAAAGAAACCUGGAUUUAACUACUGGCUGUCUUUUCCUAGUUGUGUAACUUUGACCACUGAGUUAGCAUCUCUGUGCUCAGUGUCCUCAUCUGUGGAAUGGGAAUAUUACCAGCCCCCACUGUCUUUUUGUGAGGAGGAAGGUAGUUAACGCACACUCAGAGCUUAGAAUAGUGUCUAGCAGACCAUAAGCAUUUACUAAAUAUGAGCUGUUACCGUUUUCUUCACACCUGUCUGCUGCACCAGCUUUGGCCCGGUAAACAGGAUUUGUAACUGGGAGCACACUUACCCCUUUCCUCCUCUUCACUGCCGUAUUUCUCAUCUGUUUAGUUACUGUCCCUGUGAUCCCAGGUGGCUGUGCUGACCAAGGUGCCUCUGCCCUCACUGUGAGUCUUCAAAGGACGGGAGGUGCUCCAGGGAAGAGGCCUAUGGCUUCCCCUCUUUUCUACCUUCACGUUUGACAUCCUAGCCAGGCCAGGGACUGUGGGAGGCGGCCUCAGAUUUCAUGACUUACAGUAUGUGCCUUUGGCUUAUUUGUCUGAACUUGAAGGUAGUUAAUAUAUUGCAGGGCCUUCUUCCUUCCUCCCGGAACUCUCCCAUUCUCCUCCGAGGUAAAGCCCAGCGUCUCUAGCCUGGCCACCUCCUUCAUGUCUGUGCACCAACAUCAGCCCAUAGAGCUGUGUCCUGGAGGUUAAGUCACUGACUCUGCUCUUGACAGCUGGGUGGGUGUCUCUGGGCUCCUGCUGCUAGCCACAGGUCAGUGUUUUCCUCUGCGGAUGACUGCCGCCCUCCUAAAACUCCCCUUGCCAUCGCCUGGCCUCGGUACUGACCUCAGAGCUAUGUCUUUGGUGGUGGUGGAGGGAAGUUUAUUACAUCGAAGUUUAUUGCAUCGAAUUCAAUGACCUGCUAUAGUUUUUAUGUCAUACCUUGUUCCAGAAAGUGUUUAAAGACAAAGUGUCAUUAUUAUGUUUCUGAGAUUCUCAAUAAUACUCUUGCUGAAAUUGGUCCAUCAAAGUAGGCUCAGAACCCAGACCAAAUUAUGAGGUCAGUUUGUUUGGGUUAUUCAGUCAUUUGAUGGUGACCUCUCUAAGAGUAUCUGCUCUUGGCUGCCACAAUAGUGCAGCAAUAGUCAGGACCCUCCCUCCAACUUUGGCACAGCUAGGGCUCCAGCCCAGGAAAUCUUUGUAUUCCCAGAUGCCAUACACAGGCCUACAAGCUGGAUGGGUUAAAAUCUUCUUGCUUAGCUCCAGAAGUCUGAAAUCAAGGGAUCAGCAGGCCACACUGGCUCCAAAGAUUCUAGGAAAGAAUCCUUCCUUCCCUCUUGCAGCUUUUGGUGCCCCUAGGUGUUCUUUGGCUGUGGCAGUGUAGCCCCAGCCUCUGCCCCUGUCAUCAUUCAGCAGUCUUCUCCCUGUGUGUUUCUCUCUCCAAGUCUCCCUCUCUCUAUAGGACACCAGCCUCUGGGUUUAGGACCCACCCUAAUCCAGUAGAAUUUCAUCUUUCCUUGAUUAUGUCUGCAAAUAUGUAAAGAUGCUCCCCAAGGUUCAAUUCACAGUUUUUCAGCUUUACAAUGGUACAAAAGCAAUGUUCAUUCAGUAGAAACCAUGCUGUUUGUUUAAACUACAUGCAGUUAAAAUGAGCUUGUUACCAGACAAUUUCACCCCAAGAGAAUUUUCAUUAACCAAAGUGACCAAAGUAAAUUAACUAGACUGUUAAUCUCCAAUAAACAGAAAACUUCAUUGAUUGAACAUUGUCAUCAUAGCAUACAGGAUUCAUGUUCCCACUAUUCUUGCCAAAAAAAAAAAAAAAAAGAGUUGGA